rnacentral:lncRNA from 1 species
CGUUUAUUCUAUUAAGUAUCAUAUCGUGCUACGUCCACCAAGAGACUAAGCUCAAUUGUAAGAGCCUUGCUCUAUAUUGUAUACAUCUAUAUUAUCUGCGUGCGAUAAGUUCCAGCAAGAACGACCGGGCAGGUUCUCCUUGGACAAGUAGACAUUGACGUCCAAGAGGACGCCGAAAAUGAAUUAACGACGGAAGAAUCGUUGCCGAAAAAAUGCAUCGUCGAUGACAAUGCAUAUUCUCAUGGCCAGACGGAUUUAUACGUAUGAAAUCCAGCAGAAGUUUGCUCCUGCUGUCAACCGAAAUGUUUACACAUAUCGUUCGAUAAAGGGCUUUGAAAAAUACACCGGAUAUAGAAUAUUCGUCGGAUCUGUCGCAAAAUCGUUUAGCCAUGUUUAAGCCAAUUACAAUUAUACGACAUGAAACUUUUAUUUAUGAAUGUAACCUAUUUGCGUUCUAAUAUUAUUAGCUUAUUUUUAUAUA